CUCUAUUAUGAUGUAAACAAUAUAAAUUUCAAACUAAGUAUUACAAAAUUACAAAAUGGUAAUAAAAUAUCAGUAUGUAUUUUUACUUAAUUACAAAUCUAUAUAAAUCCAUCAAACCUUCAGAGUCCUUUUAUCACAAUAUUUGAAGAUUGAUUUUGUGGUUAUUUACGAAGACUUUCACUAUAGACUUCAGCAUUCAUUGGUCGUAUGACACCUCUUGACUAUCAGUAUAAAUACUAAGAUAAGAGGGUACCAGAAUCUGACAGGUUUAGCCAAAUGAUUAAUUUAUGGAUUAAAGUCUUGGAAAAUAUUGGAAUUGAAGGCUUUGCUAUAUUACAGAUCCUUAAAAAUAUAUGCAAUUGUUAAAAAAAAUUAAUUCUAAAUUAGUUACAAUUUUUGUUGACAGUAAACACUCAAGCAUUGUAUAUCCUUUUUGUAAAUGAAGUUAAAGAAACAUUAAAUCAGUGAAUAUUAAUUUUGUUGAGGUAGGGAAUACCCUCAAACAGUAAAAGCUGUUAUUUGAAAGCUAAAUUCCUACAAGAUAUUUCUUCCAAACAGGAGAAGCUGUUAUUUGAAAGCUAACUUCCUACAGCGGAUUUGUCAAAAAAAAGUGGAAGCUGUUAUUUGAAAGCUAACUUCGUACAGGGAUUUUCUCCAAAGGAGUAGAAGCUGUUAUUUAAAAGCUAUCUCCCUAAAAGGGGAUUUCACAAAAAGAGUGGAAGCUGUUAUUUGAAAGCUAACAGGGGAUUUCUUUAAAACAGUGGAAGCUGUUAUUUGAAAGCUAACUUUCUACAGAGAAUUUCCCCCAAACAGUGGAAGCUGUUAUUUGAAAGCUAACAUCCUACAGGGGAUUUCUCCAAAACAUUGGAAGCUGUUAUUUGAAAGCUAACAUCCUACAGGGGAUUUCUCCAAAGCUGUGGAAGCUGUUAUUUGAAAGCUAACAUCCUACAGGGGAUUUCUCCAAAACAGCGGAAGCUGUUAUUUGAAAGCUAACUUCCUACAGGGAAUUUUUCCAAAACAGAGGACGCUAUUUUUUUAAGGCUAACUUUCCACGGGGGAUUUCUCCAAAACAGUAGACGCUGUCAUGUAAAAAUGUAUUUCCUACAGAUACCUAGAGGCAUGACAAAGAAAUGUUAAAAGUUUCCAAUUUGAAAAUUGUUCUUACAUGGAUGUUUAUAUCAAAUAGUUGAAGCUGCCAAGUUAAAACUGGUAUUAUGAAAUAGAUGCCAUUUUAAAAAAAAAAUUUCUUCAAAUAAAAAAUAAAAAAUAACAAACUCUUCAGUAAAAUAACACCAGCAUGGUAAAACUGUUCUUUGAUAAAAAAAAAAAAUAACAAAUUGUCUUCAGUAAAAUAACACCAGCUUGGUAAAACAGUUCCAUAAUACAAAUAACAAACUGUCUUCAGUAUAAU
rnacentral:lncRNA from 1 species